CUCGUAGGUGGUUUGUCGCGUUGUUCGUGAAAACUCACAGCUUAACUGUGGGCGUGCGGGCGAUACGGGCAUAACUUGAGUACUGUAGGGGUAACUGGAAUACCUGGUGUAGCGGUGAAAUGCGCAGAUAUCAGGAGGAACACCGAUGGCGAAGGCAGGUUACUGGGCAGUUACUGACGCUGAGGAGCGAAAGCAUGGGUAGCGAACA
rnacentral:rRNA from 1 species